rnacentral:misc_RNA from 1 species
GAUGAAGAACGCAGCGAAAUGCGAUAAGUAAUGUGAAUUGCAGAAUUCAGUGAAUCAUCGAAUCUUUGAACGCAUCUUGCACUCCUUGGUAUUCUGAGGAGCAUGCCUGUUUGAGUGUCAUUAAAUUCUCAACUACACUGACUUUGAAUUGGUGUGGCUUGGAUUUGGGGGGAAAUUUGUUGUGGGCUUUUUGUAUAGUCUGCUCCCCUGAAAUUGAUUAGCGGUACCUUUGUGGAACUGUCUACAGGUGUGAUAAUUAUCUACAUCUUAGACAUCUGCUGGAAUGCUGCUUUCUAAACCUUACUUGUAUUGACAAUCUUGACCUCAAAUCAGGUAGGACUACCCGCUGAACUUAAGCAUAUCAAUAAGCGGAGGA